rnacentral:rRNA from 1 species
AACGAACGCUGGCGGCAGGCUUAACACAUGCAAGUCGAGCGCCCCGCAAGGGGAGCGGCAGACGGGUGAGUAACGCGUGGGAAUCUACCCAUCUCUACGGAAUAACGCAUGGAAACGUGUGCUAAUACCGUAUACGUCCUUCGGGAGAAAGAUUUAUCGGAGAUGGACGAGCCCGCGUUGGAUUAGCUAGUUGGUGGGGUAAAGGCCUGCCAAGGCGACGAUCCAUAGCUGGUCUGAGAGGAUGAUCAGCCACACUGGGACUGAGACACGGCCCAGACUCCUACGGGAGGCAGCAGUGGGGAAUAUUGGACAAUGGGCGCAAGCCUGAUCCAGCCAUGCCGCGUGAGUGAUGAAGGCCCUAGGGUUGUAAAGCUCUUUCACCGGUGAAGAUAAUGACGGUAACCGGAGAAGAAGCCCCGGCUAACUUCGUGCCAGCAGCCGCAGUAAAAC